UACGUAGGGGGCGAGCGUUGUCCGGAUUUAUUGGGCGUAAAGAGCUCGUAGGCGGCUGUUCGAGUCGGUGUGAAUACUGAGGCUUAACCUUGGGUCUGCAUUCGAUACUGGGCGGCUUGAGUCUGGUAGGGGAUCUGGAAUUCCUGGUGUAGCGGUGGAAUGCGCAGAUAUCAGGAGGAACACCGGUGGCGAAGGCGGGAUCCUGGGCCCAGUACUGACGCUGAGGAGCGAAAGCGUGGGAGCAAACAGG
rnacentral:rRNA from 1 species